AAUAAGUCAGAUCUACUUCUUCAUUUCUCAUUUUUCUCAAUGGGGCAUUCUCUCUACUCCCUUUACCAUCUUCUUUCUCAUAUUCAUUCCCAAAUUUCUUCAUUUCUCUACUCCCUUUACCAUCUUCUUUCUCAUAUUCAUUCCCAAAUUUCUUCAUUUCUCUACUCCCUUUACCAUCUUCUUUCUCAUAUUCAUUCCCAAAUUUCUUCAUUUCUCUACUCCCUUUACCAUCUUCUUUCUCAUAUUCAUUCCCAAAUUUCUUCAUUUCUCUACUCCCUUUACCAUCUUCUUUCUCAUAUUCAUUCCCAAAUUUCUUCAUUUCUCUACUCCCUUUACCAUCUUCUUUCUCAUAUUCAUUCCCAAAUUUCUUCAUUUUUCUUUUUUAUGAACAUGAACUCUAACUAUAUUAUUUUUCAAAAUAGAAAGCAGCAAGUCAUACCUCCAGUCGUAAUCCUAAUUCUACAGCACUUUUGUUCUUCUUCCUUUAGUUGUGGUUUUUGAGAUAUGGCAAAUGAAGGUAGUCAUAUUAAAACCUUUGCUAAGGUGGAGUCGCAUCUAUUCGAGUUUAGGGGACUUGAUUUGCAGUCAGAAUUUUCAGUUGUAUUGGGGAAUUAGAUUGAAGAUUGCUAUUGGAGUUGCUCAAGGAGUUGCAUUUCUUCAUAAGGAUUAGAUUCUACACUUGGUUCAUAUAAAUGUCAUGUCAAUGACCAUUCUGAUGGAUGUUAACUUUGAGCAUAUACUUACACAUUUUGCUCUUAAUAGGAUUGUUGGAGAAGCUGCAUUUUAAUCAAUUGUGGAUUCUAAAGCUACGUCUUCAUGGUACAUUGUCUCAGGUAUGGGAAGUUAUGUGAAUUUCAAGUUUGAUUUUUAUGAUUUCCUUCAGCUUACUAUAGUAACAUAGUGUUGGUGCAAUUGUGUGCCGGCUUGAGAAGAAGGAAGGUAGAGACCAGGCUUGGGUUUACAUAAUGACUUUAGGUGUUUUAGCAACUUACCGUGGAUCUGGUAUUAGUAAGAAACAAAUUUAGUGUACAUUUCUGCCAUGACACCUUUAACAUAUACUAAGAUAUGUUGGAAUAAGAUUUGUUCAUACCCUAAAAGGUUUUUAUGAUAACAAAGUAUUUAAAGAACGAUCAGGUUUACUAAUGGUUGUUAAAGUGUGCAAGAUCAAAAGAAAUUAACCUUGAUAUAAAUCAAGUUAAUCACUUUAAAGAAUCAUUAAAGAGAAGCAAAGUUGUUUUGAAUCUGAAGGAUCAUAACCAAAUCUUUAGACUCUGAAGAGUCAACUCAAGUCUCUCAGAUGAUGAACCUAAGCUUACUUUAAAUCCAAAGUUCAAUAAGGUUCUGAAGACUGGAGUCAUUUGAAGCAAGCAGACUUUGUCAUAAGGAAUGAAGUUGCAACUUCUGGACAAGCUUCAUCAGUAGUUCUGAAGAUUCUGCUUCAAAGGAAUAUUGUUUAUAUCAAGACAACUUUGAAAGUGUUCAUCUAGAUUAGUUAUGAUCAAGACUAUGAUAAUGAGAAGCUCAAAACCUAUGAACUUAAGACUCUCAAUUCUUAUUCUAACUAGGUUCUGAAGACAUACUUUAACUUCUGAUCAUGCUUUAACUAAUUCUAUAAAAAGCCUCUGAUUCAGGAAGUUAAGUAUAAAGACAACAAUGACUCAGAUCAAGUUUCAACAAACUUCUACAAGAAGUCUCAAGUCAGAAGUUAUCUAAAGAAGAUCUCAUGACAACGGUACACUACUUUAUGUCUAAUCAAGCAAAAAGUAAUGUUGUUAGGAUCUUAUAUCUUCAACUAUUCUGAACUCUACUCUACUCCUCUCAACUUCUCUGUGCUAGCUGAGUUUAUAGUUUACUUUACGUGCUCUAGCUAAAGACCUUCAACGACUACUUGUACCAUGGGUUGUUUCAAUCUUCAACGGAUCUAUUCUCAGCAUCUAUAUAAGAAGAAGAUUGAAGACAUUCAAAAAAGUGAUAAUGAAUUUGGAUUGAAGAAUAUGUGACUGAGUUUACAAGGUUGUGACACCAGUUCAUAAAAAUGGGUUGAGAGAGAGAUUGUGUUACACAAAAAAUAUAGGUAAGAGAAACACACACAAAAAGGAAUAUAACUAGAAGGGUUAAGUGUGUGAGAGUAGAGUGAAACAUAUUCACAUAUGACUUGAAGAAAUAAUAAAUGAAUAUGAUCAAGAAGAUCAACAGAAUAUUGAUAACACGAAAACGUAUCGUAUUUUUGACUCCAUAUGCAUUGCUUUUUACUUGAUUGACGCUUAUUAUUACGCAGUAUCUUAUGUUUAUUGCAGGUAUUUAUCGAUUAAAAGGUUUAUCGCAAGCAAAAUGGAAAAUAGCAAAAAGGAAAGAAAAAGGAAAGAAAAAGAGAAGAAAAUGGAGCUUUUAUAGAGAAAAUGGGCCACCAAAGCAAAUGGGCUUGUGGCGCCCAUUAUCUAGGGAUUGUGGCGCCUGCCACAUUGGCCCAAGGAAUAGGUGGCGCCCGCCACCAAGCCUUAAGAAGUGGCGUUCAGUUGCUAAAAAGGUGGCACUCGCCACUCAUUCAAAGGCUAGGGUUGUGGCAACCGCCACAACCUAGUCUUCCAUCUUUUUCUCCACCUUUUUAGCCACGAAUCUACCCACCUUGCUACAACUUAGGGAUUGUGAAAAGUAUAUAAAAGAAGACCUCUCAGACUCGCACGUAUCUCUCGCUUCUUCCAGUUUUCAAGCGACGAUUAUUUUUCAGCAUUUAUUUUUCUUUUAGUUUUCUAGGCAGUUUUCUUACUUUGUAAAAGUGAUAGUUUCUCCACAUCGGGGACUAUUGCGGUUUAUUAUUUACGCAUUUGGGAUUCAAUUAUAAGGAUUAUUCAUUGGCAAAGUCUGUCGGAAUUAUUUUAAUCGAAGAAUCAAGAUUCAGUUCUAGUU